UACGGAGGGGGCAAGCGUUGUUCGGAAUCACUGGGCGUAAAGCGCGUGUAGGCGGCCUCCUCAGUCUGGUGUGAAAGCCCGGGGCUCAACCCCGGAAGUGCAUUGGAUACUGGGAGGCUGGAGUACCGGAGAGGAGGGUUGAAUUCCUGGUGUAGCGGUGAAAUGCGUAGAUAUCAGGAGGAACACCGGUGGCGAAGGCGGCCCUCUGGACGGAUACUGACGCUGAGACGCGAAAGCGUGGGGAGCAAACAGG
rnacentral:rRNA from 1 species